rnacentral:rRNA from 1 species
UAAAUUGAUAAUAUAUAAUUAUUAAUAUUUUUUUUUAUUAUAUUAUUUUUAAAAAUAAUUAUUUAUUUGUUUUAGUAUUUUAUAAAAAACUAAUAAUUUUAAUAAUAGUUUAUUAUGUAUUGUGAGAGAAUUUUGAAAUAAUUGAAAAAUAUAUAAUAUAAAAGAAGAUUUAAUUUUUCGUACCUUGUGUAUCAGGGUUUAUUAAAUAAAAUUUUUGUAUAAAAAUUUUCUCGAAAGAAAAUGAUUUAAUUAAAUAUGAUAGUUAAUGUAAUAAAUUUAUUAUAAAUAUUUAGUUAGAAAUGAAAUGUUAUUCGAGUUUUCUGAUAUCUAGUUUUUUAAGAAAUAAAUUUAAUUUAGUCUUUAUUAAUGUAUUAAUUUAUUUAAUAAAUUUUUUAUUUAUUAAAGAUAAUAUUUAGCGGGAUGAGCUGUUAAAUAAAUUAUUAAAAAUUUUUUUAAUAUAAAAAUAUUUGUAUGCUUAGAAUUAGCAACCAUUAAAAAUUUUGUUAUAAAUUAUAUUUUUGGAUAUAUUAUUUAUUUUAUUUUAAAUAUUUUAUUAAAAUUUUAAAUUUAAUAUAAAAAUUUAAUUAAUAAUGAUAAAAUUAGUAUAUUUUUUUGUAUAUUUAAUUUUAAUUGGUAGGUUUUUAUAAGGAAUUCGGCAAAAAUUAUGUUCGCCUGUUUAACAAAAACAUGUCUUUUUGAGUUUAAUUUAAGGUCUGAUCUGCCCACUGAUAAUAUUUAAGGGCCGCAGUAUUCUGACUGUGCAAAGGUAGCAUAAUCAUUAGUCUUUUAAUUGAGGGCUUGUAUGAAUGAUUGGACGAGAUAUAAUCUGUCUCAUAAAAAUUUAAGUAGAAUUUUAUUUUUUAGUUAAAAAGCUAAAAUAAGUUUAAAAGACGAGAAGACCCUAUAGAUCUUUAUAAUUUAUUUAUUAAUUUUUUUAGGUUAUUUUUUAAUUUAAUAAAUUAAAUUAUUUUGUUGGGGUGACAGUGAAAUUUACAAAACUUUCAUAAUUUUUUUUACAUUGAUUUAUGAUAAAUUGAUCCAUUUUUAGUGAUUAAAAAUUUAAGUUACCUUAGGGAUAACAGCGUAAUUAUUUUGGAGAGUUCUUAUCGAUAAAAUAGUUUGCGACCUCGAUGUUGGAUUAAGAUUAAUUCUGGGUGUAGCAGUUCAGGUUAUUAAGUCUGUUCGACUUUUAAUUUCUUACAUGAUCUGAGUUCAAACCGGCGUGAGCCAGGUUGGUUUCUAUCUUUAAAUUAAUAUAAUACUUUAGUACGAAAGGACCAAGUAUUAAAAAUAUAGAUUUUUAAUAAGUUGAAUAUUAUUAAUAUA